CAGCCGCCGCGGUAAUACGUAGGGUGCGAGCGUUGUCCGGAAUUACUGGGCGUAAAGAGCUCGUAGGUGGUUUGUCACGUCGUCUGUGAAAUCCCGGGGCUUAACCUCGGGCGUGCAGGCGAUACGGGCAUAACUUGAGUGCUGUAGGGGAGACUGGAAUUCCUGGUGUAGCGGUGAAAUGCGCAGAUAUCAGGAGGAACACCAAUGGCGAAGGCAGGUCUCUGGGCAGUAACUGACGCUGAGGAGCGAAAGCAUGGGUAGCGAACAGGAUUAGAUACCCUGGUAGUCCAUGCCGUAAACGGUGGGCGCUAGGUGUAGGGGACUUCCACGUCUUCUGUGCCGCAGCUAACGCAUUAAGCGCCCCGCCUGGGGAGUACGGCCGCAAGGCUAAAACUCAAAGGAAUUGACGGGGGCCCGCACAAGCGGCGGAGCAUGUGGAUUAAUUCGAUGCAACGCGAAGAACCUUACCUGGGCUUGACAUACACCAGAUCGCUGCAGAAAUGUAGCUUCCCUUGUGGCUGGUGUACAGGUGGUGCAUGGCC
rnacentral:rRNA from 1 species